rnacentral:rRNA from 1 species
UACGUAGGGAGCAAGCGUUGUCCGGAAUCAUUGGGCGUAAAGCGCGCGUAGGUUGCCUCAUAAGUCCGCUGUGAAAGUCAAAGGCUCAACCUUUGAAAGCCGGUGGAUACUGUGAGGCUAGAGUACGGAAGAGGCGAGUGGAAUUCCUGGUGUAGCGGUGGAAUGCGCAGAUAUCAGGAGGAACACCAAUAGCGAAGGCAGCUCGCUGGGACGCUACUGACACUGAGGCGCGAAAGCGUGGGGAGCGAACAGG